rnacentral:rRNA from 1 species
UACGUAGGGAGCAAGCGUUGUCCGGAAUCAUUGGGCGUAAAGCGCGCGUAGGCGGUCCGGUAAGUCGGCUGUGAAAGUCCAAGGCUCAACCUUGGGAUGCCGGUCGAUACUGCCGGACUAGAGUUCGGAAGAGGCGAGUGGAAUUCCCGGUGUAGCGGUGAAAUGCGCAGAUAUCGGGAGGAACACCUAUGGCGAAGGCAGCUCGCUGGGACGUUACUGACGCUGAGACGCGAAAGCGUGGGGAGCAAACAGG